UGCUUCUGUAAAAGUGCUUGCUCAUCGCUUGGGCUAACUAGCUACUUUCGCUUCUGUUUGAAUGCUUGUUUGAUGGCGCUCGCGGGCUCCCAACACCAAUCAACCAACACCAGAUUUGCCUAUUCUGGAAAUUUCAUGUAUAUUGAAUGAUGGAGCAUAUGGAUUUGUGUCAGCUUCUUCCACUGAGCAUACUGUUUUCAAGGUUCAUCCAUGCACGUACGUGAACUUGUGUGUGAAGAGCCUGGGUGUGUCUUAUCUAAUUCAUAUGAAGGUAAGACUAAAAGUCUUUAUGACUUAACAUGUGUAUUUAGUAAUAUUUAAGCAACUUCUUUAA
rnacentral:lncRNA from 1 species